rnacentral:tRNA from 2 species
GGGUAUUAGCUCAGCUGGGAGAGCACCUCCCUUACAAGGAGGGGGUCGGCGGUUCGAUCCCGUCAUCACCCACCA